rnacentral:rRNA from 1 species
ACGGAAGGCAGCAGUGGGGAAUAUUGGGCAAUGGGCGAAAGCCUGACCCAGCAACGCCGCGUGAAGGAAGAAGGCCUUUGGGUUGUAAACUUCUUCUACCAGGGACGAAGGACGUGACGGUACCUGGAGAAAAAGCCACGGCUAACUACGUGCCAGCAGCCGCGGUAAUACGUAGGUGGCAAGCGUUGUCCGGAUUUACUGGGUGUGAAGGGCGUGUAGGCGGAACUGUAAGUCAGAUGUGAAAUCCCGGGGCUCAACCCCGGAACUGCAUUUGAAACUGCAGUCCUUGAGUAUCGGAGAGGCAAGCGGAAUUCCUAGUGUAGCGGUGAAAUGCGUAGAUAUUAGGAGGAACACCAGUGGCGAAGGCGGCUUGCUGGACGACAACUGACGCUGAGGCGCGAAAGCGUGGGGAGCAAACAGGAUUAGAUACCCUGGUA